UGAGUAACGCGUAUGCAACCUACCUUUUACAGGGGAAUAGCCCGGAGAAAUUCGGAUUAAUGCUCCAUGGUUUAUAUGAAUGGCAUCAUUUAUAUAAUAAAGAUUUAUCGGUAAAAGAUGGGCAUGCGUAUCAUUAGCUAGUUGGUGUGGUAACGGCAUACCAAGGCGACGAUGAUUAGGGGUCCUGAGAGGGAGAUCCCCCACACUGGUACUGAGACACGGACCAGACUCCUACGGGAGGCAGCAGUGAGGAAUAUUGGUCAAUGGAGGCAACUCUGAACCAGCCAUGCCGCGUGCAGGAUGACGGUCCUAUGGAUUGUAAACUGCUUUUGUACGGGAAGAAAUGUAAUUACGUGUAAUUAUUUGACGGUACCGUAAGAAUAAGGAUCGGCUAACUCCGUGCCAGCAGCCGCGGUAAUACGGAGGAUCCGAGCGUUAUCCGGAAUUAUUGGGUUUAAAGGGUUCGUAGGCGGUUUAGUAAGUCAGUGGUGAAAUCUUAUAGCUUAACUAUAAAAUUGCCGUUGAUACUGCUAGACUUGAAUAGUAUGGAAGUAAUUAGAAUAUGUAGUGUAGCGGUGAAAUGCUUAGAUAUUACAUGGAAUACCAAUUGCGAAGGCAGAUUACUACGUACUUAUUGACGCUGAUGAACGAAAGCGUGGGUAGCGAACAGGAUUAGAUA
rnacentral:rRNA from 1 species